ACUUCAGCAGCGCGAGUGCGCGCGCUCCACUGGUGCAUCGCUCACGAAGCCUGGCUUACUGACGCGCCUCAGGUACGGACCGCCGCCUUCUCUACAUUGUAGAUCAGCCACCGUUAGUCAUGACUCAGUGAACGGACCGUGGAGAAAAUGGAAAGUGCUCGCGGCUCGAGACCGUUUCAGCACCACUUCGGCUGGACAGCGCAACAGCUUCUUUUUUUUGCUUCUUCUUCUCUUUUUUUUCUAGACAGGAUCCCGAGGUGGGGGGUUUCUUUUUGAAAUUGCACGAGCGUGCGUGAUGGAGUUCGUCGAACAGGAACAAGCUGCAACAGCAUCAGAUUAACAAGACAUCAAACAUUCCGCUUUGGUCCGAGUCUGAAAAGAUGAUGCGGGAAGUCUUGUAAGCAGCACGCAGUAAAGCAUCCAGCAGCACCGGACAGAACGAGAGAGCUUGAGCUUGCAGUGAUAGAGCUACUGCACUCAAAUCAUUUCCUCCCACUCAGUAAGGAUCAAAGCCUUAACAGCUCCAACCCGAGAAGCCAAAAUGAGCUCCUUCAUCAGAAAAUAUUCAGUCAGCAAAUCCUUCUACAGGUAUGAGUUCUACAGGCAUCUAGAUGUUUACACCUAUCUGCUUGUCAACAGUGUAUAACACCAUUGCCUCCUUGGAGGACCAUUGAGACAUUGUAAAUGGUAACAUACAGUAUGUUGAGGUCGCAUAAAGAUUGAGUGUGUAUGUGUGUGUGUUGAGUGUGUAUGUGUGUGUGCACUAAUACAGCAGAUGUUGCUGUUGUAAAUGAAAAGUUCAGACAGGUAUUUGUCCUAGUUUUAUACUGCACAUUUGACUAUAGUCUCAAGGAAAUCUUCAUGACUAGGGCUAUCAAGCACCAACUGCUCCUGAAUAACAUCUCUCAGAGCUCAUCAUAUAUAGCAUUGCUAUGCUGAUGACACCAAGCUCUAUUUGUCCUACCAGCCUGAUGAUCUGUCUCUUCAUGAAUCUCUGCUUGCCUGUCUGACAUCUCAAACUGAAUGAGGGAACACCACCUCACCUUAAG
ensembl:lncRNA